GAUGAACGCUGGCGGCGUGCCUAAUACAUGCAAGUCGAGCGAACGGACGAGAAGCUUGCUUCUCUGAUGUUAGCGGCGGACGGGUGAGUAACACGUGGAUAACCUACCUAUAAGACUGGGAUAACUUCGGAAAACCGUAUCUAAUACCGGAUAAUAUUUUGAACCGCAUGGUUCAAAAGUGAAGGACGGUCUUGCUGUCACUUAUAGAUGGAUCCGCGCUGCAUUAGCUAGUUGGUAAGGUAACGGCUUACCAAGGCAACGAUGCAUAGCCGACCUGAGAGGGUGAUCGGCCACACUGGAACGGAGACACGGUCCAGACUCCUACGGGAGGCAGCAGUAGGGAAUCUUCCGCAAUGGGCGAAAGCCUGACGGAGCAACGCCGCGUGAGUGAUGAAGGUCUUCGGAUCGUAAAACUCUGUUAUUAGGGAAGAACAUAUGUGUAAGUAACUGUGCACAUCUUGACGGUACCUAAUCAGAAAGCCACGGCUAACUACGUG
rnacentral:rRNA from 1 species